rnacentral:rRNA from 1 species
AGAUUAAGUUAUUAAGGGCGCACGGUGGAUGCCUUGGCACUAGAAGCCGACGAAGGACGUUACUAACGACGAUAUGCUUUGGGUAGCUGUAAGUAAGCGUUGAUCCAGAGAUUUCCGAAUGGGGGAACCCAGCACGAGUUAUGUCGUGUUAUCGACAAGUGAAUUCAUAGCUUGUCAGAAGGCAGACCCGGAGAACUGAAACAUCUUAGUACCCGGAGGAAGAGAAAGAAAAAUCGAUUCCCUGAGUAGCGGCGAGCGAAACGGGAAGAGCCCAAACCAAUAAGCUUGCUUAUUGGGGUUGUAGGACACUCUAUACGGAGUUACAAAGGAAUAUAUUAGACGAAUCAUCUGGAAAGUUGAAUCAAAGAAGGUAAUAAUCCUGUAGUUGAAAAUAUAUUCUCUCUUGAGUGGAUCCUGAGUACGACGGAGCACGUGAAAUUCCGUCGGAAUCUGGGAGGACCAUCUCCUAAGGCUAAAUACUCUCUAGUGACCGAUAGUGAACCAGUACCGUGAGGGAAAGGUGAAAAGUACCCCGGAAGGGGAGUGAAAGAGAACUUGAAACCGUGUGCUUACAAGUAGUCAGAGCCCGUUAAUGGGUGAUGGCGUGCCUUUUGUAGAAUGAACCGGCGAGUUACGAUCUGAUGCAAGGUUAAGCAGGAAAUGUGGAGCCGUAGCGAAAGCGAGUCUGAAUAGGGCGUUGAGUAUUUGGUCGUAGACCCGAAACCAGGUGAUCUACCCAUGGUCAGGUUGAAGUUCAGGUAACACUGAAUGGAGGACCGAACCGACUUACGUUGAAAAGUGAGCGGAUGAACUGUGGGUAGCGGAGAAAUUCCAAUCGAACUUGGAGAUAGCUGGUUCUCUCCGAAAUAGCUUUAGGGCUAGCCUCAAGUGAUGAUUAUUGGAGGUAGAGCACUGUUUGGACGAGGGGCCCCUCUCGGGUUACCGAAUUCAGACAAACUCCGAAUGCCAAUUAAUUUAACUUGGGAGUCAGAACAUGGGUGAUAAGGUCCGUGUUCGAAAGGGAAACAGCCCAGACCACCAGCUAAGGUCCCAAAAUAUAUGUUAAGUGGAAAAGGAUGUGGCGUUGCCCAGACAACUAGGAUGUUGGCUUAGAAGCAGCCAUCAUUUAAAGAGUGCGUAAUAGCUCACUAGUCGAGUGACACUGCGCCGAAAAUGUACCGGGGCUAAACAUAUUACCGAAGCUGUGGAUUGUCCGUAGGACAAUGGUAGGAGAGCGUUCUAAGGGCGUUGAAGCAUGAUCGCAAGGACAUGUGGAGCGCUUAGAAGUGAGAAUGCCGGUGUGAGUAGCGAAAGACGGGUGAGAAUCCCGUCCACCGAUUGACUAAGGUUUCCAGAGGAAGGCUCGUCCGCUCUGGGUUAGUCGGGUCCUAAGCUGAGGCCGACAGGCGUAGGCGAUGGAUAACAGGUUGAUAUUCCUGUACCACCUAGCAUCGUUUUAAUCGAUGGGGGGACGCAGUAGGAUAGGCGAAGCGUACGAUUGGAUUGUACGUCCAAGCAGUGAGAUUGAGUGUUAGGCAAAUCCGGCACUCUUAAGAUUGAGCUGUGAUGGGGAGAGGAAAUUGUUUCCUCGAGUCGUUGAUUUCACACUGCCGAGAAAAGCCUCUAGAUAGAUAAUAGGUGCCCGUACCGCAAACCGACACAGGUAGUCAAGAUGAGAAUUCUAAGGUGAGCGAGCGAACUCUCGUUAAGGAACUCGGCAAAAUGACCCCGUAACUUCGGGAGAAGGGGUGCUCUUUAGGGUGCAAGCCCAGAAGAGCCGCAGUGAAUAGGCCCAAGCGACUGUUUAUCAAAAACACAGGUCUCUGCUAAACCGUAAGGUGAUGUAUAGGGGCUGACGCCUGCCCGGUGCUGGAAGGUUAAGAGGAGU